rnacentral:rRNA from 1 species
GACGAACGCUGGCGGCGUGCUUAACACAUGCAAGUCGAACGGAAAGGCCCUGCUUUUGUGGGGUGCUCGAGUGGCGAACGGGUGAGUAACACGUGAGUAACCUGCUCUUGACUUUGGGAUAACUUCAGGAAACUGGGGCUAAUACCGGAUAGGAGCUCCUGCUGCAUGGUGGGGGUUGGAAAGUUUCGGCGGUUGGGGAUGGACUCGCGGCUUACCAGCUUGUUGGUUGGGUAGUGGCUUACCAAGGCAUUGACGGGUAGCCGGCAUGAGAGGGUGACCGGCCACAAUGGGACUGAGAUACGGACCAGACUCCUACGGGAGGCAACAGUGGGGAGUAUUACACAAUGAGCGGAAGCCUGAUGCAGCAACGCCGCGUGCGGGAUGACGGCCUUCGGGUUGUAAACCGCUUUAGCCUGUGACGAAGCGUGAGUGACGGUAAUGAGUAAAGAAGCACCGGCUAACUACGUG